GACGAACGCUGGCGGCGUGCUUAACACAUGCAAGUCGAACGGAAAGGCCUCUUUCGGGGGGUACUCGAGUGGCGAACGGGUGAGUAACACGUGAGUAACCUGCCCUUGACUUUGGGAUAACUUCCGGAAACUGGGGCUAAUACCGGAUAGGAGCUCCUGCUGCAUGGUGGGGGUUGGAAAGUUUCGGCGGUUGGGGAUGGACUCGCGGCUUAUCAGCUUGUUGGUGGGGUAGUGGCUUACCAAGGCUUUGACGGGUAGCCGGCCUGAGAGGGUGACCGGCCACAUUGGGACUGAGAUACGGCCCAGACUCCUACGGGAGGCAGCAGUGGGGAAUAUUGCACAAUGGGUGGAAGCCUGAUGCAGCAACGCCGUGUGCGGGAUGACGGCCUUCGGGUUGUAAACCGCUUUCGCUCAUGACGAAGCUUUGUGUGACGGUAGUGGGUAAAGAAGCACCGGCUAACUACGUG
rnacentral:rRNA from 1 species